rnacentral:rRNA from 1 species
UGGGGAAUAUUGCACAAUUGGGGAAACCCUGAUGCAGCGACGCCGCGUGAACGAAGAAGGUAUUCGUAUCGUAAAGUUCUGUCCUAUGGGAAGAUAAUGACAGUACCAUAGAAGAAAGCUCCGGCUAAAUACGUGCCAGCAGCCGCGGUAAUACGUAUGGAGCGAGCGUUGUCCGGAAUUAUUGGGCGUAAAGGGUACGCAGGCGGUUUAAUAAGUCGAAUGUUAAAGAUCGGGGCUCAACCCCGCAAAGCAUUGGAAACUGAUAAACUUGAGUAGUGGAGAGGAAAGUGGAAUUCCUAGUGUAGUGGUGAAAUACGUAGAUAUUAGGAGGAAUACCAGUAGCGAAGGCGACUUUCUGGACACAAACUGACGCUGAGGUACGAAAGCGUGGGGAGCAAACAGG